CAAGUCGAACGAGAAAGUUCCCUUCGGGGAGCGAGUAAAGUGGCGCACGGGUGAGUAACACGUAGGUAAUCUACCUUCGGGUGGGGAAUAACGCAGGGAAACUUGCGCUAACACCGCAUAAUGCAGCGGCACCACAUGGUGACAGUUGUUAAAGCGGGGGAUUUUAGGACCUCGCGCCUGAAGAGGAGCCUGCGGCGGAUUAGCUAGUUGGUAGGGUAACGGCUUACCAAGGCGACGAUCCGUAACCGGCCUGAGAGGGCGGUCGGUCACACUGACACUGACAUACGGGUCAGACUCCUACGGGAGGCAGCAGUCGGGAAUUUUGGGCAAUGGGCGAAAGCCUGACCCAGCAACGCCGCGUGAAGGAUGAAAUCCCUCGGGAUGUAAACUUCGCAAGAAUGGGAAGAAUUAGUAGGGGCUAAUACUCCCUAUGAUGACGGUACCAUUUGUAAGCUCCGGCUAACUCCGUGCCAGCAGCCGCGGUAAUACGGGGGGAGCAAGCGUUGUUCGGAUUUACUGGGCGUAAAGGGCGCGUAGGCGGUCAGCACAAGUCAGUUGUGAAAUCUCCGGGCUUAACUCGGAAAGGUCAACUGAUACUGUGCGACUAGAGUGCAGAAGGGGCAACUGGAAUUCUCGGUGUAGCGGUGAAAUGCGUAGAUAUCGAGAGGAACACCUGCGGCGAAGGCGGGUUGCUGGGCUGACACUGACGCUGAUGCGCGAAAGCCAGGGGAGCGAACGGGAUUAGAUACCCCGGUAGUCCUGGCCUUAAACGAUGGAUGCUUGGUGUCUGGAGUUUU
rnacentral:rRNA from 1 species